rnacentral:lncRNA from 1 species
AGCGUAAGCGUAAGCUGAAGUCUGCAAAGGUAAAGGCCUGGAAUCUGGUGACUGGUGUUGAACACUUUGGCGACGCUCAAAUCAAAGAUGCGAUGAAGAUGGUGUACUGAUGAACAUCUAUUAGAGUAAUUGAUACAUGUUCUGGAUCAUGUAAUAUGUUUUAAGAGUUUAAGUCUGAGGUAAAGGCCUGGAAUCUGGUGACUGGUGUUGAACACUUUGGCGACGCUCAAAUGAAAGAUGUGAUGAAGAUGGUGUAUUGAUGAACAUCUAUUAGAGUAAUUGAUACCUGCAUCAUGUAAUAUGUUUUAAGAGUUUAAGUCUGAGGUAAAGGCCUGGAAUCUGGUGACUGGUGUUGGAACACUUUGGUGAUGCUCAAAUCAAAGAUGUGAUGAAGAUGGUGUACUGAUGAGCAUCUAUUAGAGUAAUCGAUACAUGUUCUGGAUCAUGUAAUAUGUUUAGGAGUUUAAGUUUGAGAUUGAACAUCUUUUCUUUGGGCGCAGACAUAUAUGGAAAUGAAAUUGAGGGCAACGCAAAGAAAGAAGUAGUGCUAGGCGUUAAUUAUGUAUGACAGACAUAUGGAAAUGAAAUUGAGGGCAAUGCAAGGAAAGAAGUAGUGCUAGGCGUUAAUUAUGUAUGACAG